AAACUGUGCGUGAAAGUAUGCCUCUACCCCAUGGUUAUCAGCUGAUAAGAAACUAAAAAGUCGUGGCAUGUGGGCUGUGCCUUCACCAGCAAGCGCACUGGCAGCAGCUGCAGCAGACAUGGCAGAUGAUUUUUCUGACUUUGGUGNCUGCUGCAGAAAUUGCAGCAGCUGCAGUAGCCGUGUUCAAUGUGUCUGCAAAUGAUUCAAUAUAGAUCCAUGUUGCAAAUGCAUAUCCAUUGGUAAAUGGCCAACGGCUCUCCCCUGGACCAAGCAAACCAGAGCUUUCAC
rnacentral:misc_RNA from 1 species